UUUGUGGCGGUUUUAACCGCCACUAAUUUUUUUAAAUAUUAUGAGU
rfam:Cicer arietinum chromosome Ca5, whole genome shotgun sequence.